rnacentral:tRNA from 1 species
UGGGUUGUGGCUCAGUGGUAGAGUGCUCGCCUAGCACAUGUGAGGCACUGGGUUCGAUCCUCAGCACCACAU